rnacentral:rRNA from 1 species
UACGUAGGGGGCGAGCGUUGUCCGGAAUUACUGGGCGUAAAGGGCGUGUAGGCGGCUGAUUAAGUCAGGUGUGAAAGGCCACGGCUCAACCGUGGUAUUGCACAUGAAACUGGUCGGCUUGAGUGCAGGAGAGGGAAGUGGAAUUCCUAGUGUAGCGGUGAAAUGCGUAGAUAUUAGGAGGAACACCAGUGGCGAAGGCGACUUUCUGGACUGUAACUGACGCUCAUGCACGAAAGCGUGGGGAU